rnacentral:rRNA from 1 species
CACGCCGUAAACGAUGAGUACUAGGUGUAGGGGGUAUCGACCCCCCCUGUGCCGCAGUAAACACAAUAAGUACUCCGCCUGGGAAGUACGAUCGCAAGAUUAAAACUCAAAGGAAUUGACGGGGACCCGCACAAGCGGUGGAGCAUGUGGUUUAAUUCGAAGCAACGCGAAGAACCUUACCAGGUCUUGACAUCCCGAUGAUCGCUCUAGAGAUAGAGUUUUCCCUUCGGGGACAUUGGUGACAGGUGG